CUGUUAGUUAAAGAAGAACACGUAUGAGAGUAACUGUUCAUACGUUGACGGUAUUUAACCAGAAAGUCACGGCUAACUACGUGCCAGCAGCCGCGGUAAUACGUAGGUGGCAAGCGUUAUCCGGAUUUAUUGGGCGUAAAGAGAGUGCAGGCGGUUUUCUAAGUCUGAUGUGAAAGCCUUCGGCUUAACCGGAGAAGUGCAUCGGAAACUGGAUAACUUGAGUGCAGAAGAGGGUAGUGGAACUCCAUGUGUAGCGGUGGAAUGCGUAGAUAUAUGGAAGAACACCAGUGGCGAAGGCGGCUACCUGGUCUGCAACUGACGCUGAGACUCGAAAGCAUGGGUAGCGAACAGGAUUAGAUACCCUGGUAG
rnacentral:rRNA from 1 species